rnacentral:tRNA from 1 species
GCGGUUGUGGCUCAGUGGUAGAGCGCUCACCUUACACGUGCGAGGCCCUGGGUUCGAUCCUCAGCACCACA